AGCAGCCGCGGUAAUUCCAGCUCCAAUAGCGUAUAUUAAAGUUGUUGCAGUUAAAAAGCUCGUAGUUGAAUUUCGGGACCAAUCUGCCGGUCGUGCCUCCGGUACGCACUGGUUUUAUUGGUCUCUCCCUUCUGACGAACCAUGAUGUCAUUAAUUUGGUGUUAUGGGGAGUUAGGACUGUUACUUUGAAAAAAUUAGAGUGUUUAAAGCAGGCAUUAGCUUGAAUACAUUAGCAUGGAAUAAUGAAAUAGGACGUUUGAUUCUAUUUUGUUGGUUUCUAGGAUCGACAUAAUGAUUAAUAGGGAUAGUUGGGGGCAUUAGUAUUCAAUUGUCAGAGGUGAAAUUCUUGGAUUUAUUGAAGACUAACUACUGCGAAAGCAUUUGCCAAGGAUGUUUUCAUUAAUCAAGAACGAAAGUUAGGGGAUCGAAGACGAUCAGAUACCGUCGUAGUCUUAACCAUAAACUAUGCCGACUAGGGAUCGGAUGAUGUUAAUUUUUUAAUGACUCAUUCGGCGCCUUA
rnacentral:rRNA from 1 species